CGGCGGACGGGUGAGUAAUGUCUGGGGAUCUGCCUGAUGGAGGGGGAUAACUACUGGAAACGGUAGCUAAUACCGCAUAACCUCGCAAGAGCAAAGUGGGGGACCUUCGGGCCUCACGCCAUCGGAUGAACCCAGAUGGGAUUAGCUAGUAGGUGGGGUAAUGGCUCACCUAGGCGACGAUCCCUAGCUGGUCUGAGAGGAUGACCAGCCACACUGGAACUGAGACACGGUCCAGACUCCUACGGGAGGCAGCAGUGGGGAAUAUUGCACAAUGGGCGCAAGCCUGAUGCAGCCAUGCCGCGUGUGUGAAG
rnacentral:rRNA from 2 species